UGUCGGUUCAUCUCCUAGAGUCUCCGAUCCAGAAAAUCCUCUCGACUCUGGGUCUCGAGGGUCCUCUAGCAGAAUGGGGGCAGGGAUCUUCCAGGGGUGGAGUCAUGAUCCGAUUGAGGGCUCUCCACCCUCGGGUUCGUCUUCCCGGGAAAGACGAGGCGGCUGGCCCAAGUGGCCCACCCCACUGCCAGAUUCUGGCAUUCCGGUGACACCC
rnacentral:lncRNA from 1 species